rnacentral:rRNA from 1 species
CUCAGAACGAACGCUGCGGCGUGCCUAACACAUGCAAGCGUGCGAGAAAGUCGUCUCGGAGAUGAGUAGAGCGGCGGCACGGGUGAGGUAACACGUGGGUAACCUGCCCUCGAGUCUGGGAUACCGGGAAACCCGGGCUAAUACCGGGAUACGGCCGCGAGGUCUUCGGAUCUUGCGGAGAAAGACGGCGCUUCUUCGGAAGCUUUCACUCGAGGAUGGGCCUGCGUCCCAUUAGCUAGUUGGUGAGGUAACGGCCCACCAAGGCAAAGAUGGGUAGGCUGGUCUGAGAGGAUGGCCAGCCACACUGGAACUGAGACACGGUCCAGACUCCUACGGGAGGCAGCAGUGGGGAAUUUUGGGCAAUGGGCGAAAGCCUGACCCAGCAACGCCGCGUGUGGGAUGAAGGCCCUCGGGUCGUAAACCACUGUCAGGAGGAAAGAAUGGCCGGCCGGAUAAUACUCGGUCGGUUUGACGGUACCUCCAAAGGAAGCGCCGGCUAACUCCGUGCCAGCAGCAGC